rnacentral:rRNA from 1 species
UACGUAGGUGGCGAGCGUUGUUCGGAUUCAUUGGGCGUAAAGGGUCCGCAGGGGGUAGAUUAAGUCUGAUGUGAAAUCCCUGAGCUUAACUCAGGAACUGCAUUGGAGACUGGUCUACUAGAGUAUCGGAGAGGAGAUUGGAAUUCCAGGUGUAGCGGUGGAAUGCGUAGAUAUCUGGAAGAACACCGAAAGCGAAGGCAGAUCUCUGGACGAUUACUGACCCUCAGGGACGAAAGCGUGGGGAGCAAACAGGAUUAGAUACCCUGGUAGUCCACGCCCUAAACGGUGUAAACUUGAUGUGAGAGGUUUUACUCCUUCUCGUGUCGAAGCUAACGCGAUAAGUUUACCGCCUGGGAACUACGGCCGCAAGGCUAAA